CAGAAAUUAAAGAAGAGAGGAAGGAAGGAAAAGCAAAGCAUCUUUUGUGGAAAGAAAAAUGGAGAAGGCGUUGAGAGCUUACGCGGAGGUUCUUCGUCUGGUUCGGCGAUUACCAAAGGAGUCGAGAGGUUACUACGCCAAGUACGCACGCGAGAACUUCGUGAAUUACCGCGACGUCGAUCCCUCUGAUUCCACCACUCUCCAUGACCUCUUCCGUCGCACUUACAACCACUCCAUUUGGCUCCUUCACAAGUAUUCCGUUGAUGAUUCUGCCGCCGAUAAGCUCAAGCGGAUUUGUUGCGGGAGGUGGCAGCAUCUCCCUGACCUGGUUUGUGCCGAGAAUUUCGCAUGCCAUGGAAUUGGGGAAGCUGUGUCCUUCUUUUGGUGUUAUUUUGGAGAAAAUGUAUAUUUGGGUGUGAUCUUGAAGGCUUGUUCUGCUGCAGCUUGAGCCAUUCAUAAGCUGUUUGAAUUUUCGGAGCUGUCACUGGAUGAUUGGAUGUGGUGGAAAUUAAGGAAUUGGAAGGUGAGCUUGUUAUGCAAACAGCUCCUCGUACUAUAAAUACCAAAGAGCCUUCGAUAGGUUGUUAAUCUCCGCAGACCGAAACCUCGAACCAUUGACCGGGUUAGGGUUUUGGCUGGGCAUUUCGGUUGUCUGUUUCUUGAUUCUCUGAUCUGGUCAUCUAUUUCGCUCCUCCUGUGCUCUCUAUGCUGCACCUCGCCAGGGUGCUUGCCUCAGACAGACACCCUUGAGCCUCUACACCGUGUCACCGCCAUCUCUUUUCAGAGGGUUGUGCACUCCUGCUUCCUCCGGCUCGCCACACUUGCCUCCUGCAGACCCCAAUCUUUAUCAUCGUCUUUGGGCCUUAUUCUCGUUGCUGCUGCGGACGUCUCUACUCAGCUUCUCUCUCUUCAAGCUCGCUCUCUCUGAUCUUACUCUGUCUCACGUGAACGUCCCUACUCGCUUGUCCUCCUUGUCAUCACCUCCGUUUAACUGCUCGGCGAUCACCUCCGUUUAAUUGCUCGGCCAUCACCUCCUUGCGCACGUCUCUGUUGCUUGGCUGUCUUUUCUUCUCCAGUGAGCACUUUUUCAUUGCUUCUUCAGUCCUAAAUUUUAGAGUUCCGCUAUACAUUCAAGUCUUUGGCAACUAAGUCUAACCAAGUUGGCCCAAAUCUAACAAAAACCACUUUCACUAUAUGCAGUGUGUAUACACGCACACUUCACUAGCGCAAACAUAUCCUCCUCUUCUUCGCAUUCAUUCUUCUUUUUCGUCGCGUUCCUUCUUAGAGAAGGAAGAGAAACGCAGAGAUGGAAAAGAACGUAGAGAACACAGAGAUGGAGGAGAACGUAGAAAAUGCAGAAAACGUUGAGAAAAUUCAAAAAAGAAAUCUGAACUUGAAAAUACAACGAAAGCAUUUCUAAAAUACACCAAUUUAUAAUCCAAAUACACCAAAAUGGGGACGAACAGAUUCAUCAAAAUAAUACAAUUCGUCUUGGUUCAAUUGACAGUUUGAACUUGAAUUAUUCAUUGUCUUUGAAAAUGAAAUACCUGUUCAAAACUGAUUUCAUUGCUUAAUUUUAAAAAAUUUGAUCCAAAUCUGCAAAUCAUAUAAGAGAGUAUUGAUCUUGAACGAAAAAAAUACAGAGAACGAAGAGAACAGAGAAGGAAGAGAAAAACCAAACCAAGUCAUCCAAGCACUUUUUUGUAACGCGCCUCCUCCCUCCCUCCAAGUUAUGUGAAAUAGACGUGUGCCCCCCUCCUCCUCCUAUUAACGUAACAGAAUUACAUAAAGCUUUUUUUUCAACGUAAACAUUCUUCAAUGUUAACAAUCUGAUUGCAAUUUUUGGAUUUGCUCUGCUACUCGUCGUUUUUCUUCUUUUUCUUCUCUAUUGCUUGUUGUUCUUCUUCCUAUUCUUCUUCGUUUUUCUC